AGUCGAUAAUGCUUGGGCAUGUGUGAUGGUGUUUAUUCUACAGGAGGCAUCACACUACAAUGUCUGGAGUCCAAACAGUUAAGGACACGCCCCCUCUUCCCACCACAGGAGCUUUAACAUCUUUAGUAUCACCAUAACAUGGAGAAUGUUUCUGCUGGACCAAAAAAGGGCAGAGAAGAAACCCUAAUUUUUGCCUUGAGUGUCCAGAUACAAAGAAGACAUGCAGUCUUGCAUGGCUCUACUCACAGAUCUCAUUUUGAAGGUCUCUCAUUGGAGAGAACUAACCUGGAGCCACACAGAAAAGGUACUUUCAGAAGGGGUUCCUGGCUUCUCCCGGCAAGCUUGGAUUGUGGCAUUGGCAGUGGCUGAGUUGACCGUAGAUAGUUCAUCGUGCAGAAGGAUAUACGUCCGCUUUUCAGCUCACAGAGAGGAUAAAAGGGAAAGAUGAAGACGAGCGAUUUCCUUUGAAGAAUGUGACCAGGAAGUCUUCUUCUGCUCACAUCUCAUUGGUCAGAAUCCAGUCACAUGACCACAACGUUGCUGUGAUGGAGAUGGGGAAUUCUCUUCCCUACCUGGGUAUCCUUGUGUUUUCCCAAAUUGUGGUGGGGACUGGGAUUUUAUUAUUAAAAGAAAGAAUGACAUAGAAAAGUAACUCCUGGGAAUAAUUAGAAAAAAGCAUGCUCAGACAGUUAGGAAGACUUUUGGUUCCUAAUCUUAUGAAAGUUCAUGUUUUAUAUUAAAAUAAAAUGUAUAUUGUGUUCUGAAAUUCUAGUCAUUAUAUUUAUCUUUAGGUUAGUUAACUAUGGUGUGCUGUAGAUAUGUUUAAUUUUUAGAUGACCUUGAUAGUGACUAAUGGGUUUAUUUUAUCUCAGCUCAAUGAAAAACAGUCUUUUCUACCUAUAUAUACUACAAAUUUUACUGCUAUUUCUUAUAGUUAUGAUGAAGCUUUCCUCAUUUUAGCUUUACUUACAUGUGUUCUAAAGCUUGCAUUUUUUUUUCUGAUAGUUCCAAUUUUUUUCAUCUAAUAGUGAUUUGUAGCAUGGCAAAACACAAGCAACAGUACUGACAGUCUUCCAAAAUGUGGUCUUAAAUAAUGGUCUGAACUCAGGUCUCUGUAAAUAUCUUCAGAUCAUCCCUAAGCUGGCAGCCCCCAGAAACCUAUGUUGAUUCUUGGACUACUUGUGGUCUUCUUUAUUAUGUAACUGUAGAGCUGGUUUAAUUUUAUGGGUUAGCCUGCAAAAUGGAGUCUUACAAGAAAACUUUCAUGGGCGGGGAGUGGGGGUCAAAAAAUAAUGGUUGAAUAAUUGAAUUGGGUGCCUCAGAAGUCAUCAGAAAUUGCAAGUUCUUUGGAACCAGGGUUAGGCCAUCUUUUCCAGACAAAAACAUUUAGUAUUUUUUGUUUGUUUGUUUAAUAAUGUUAAUAAUAGCCUAUGUAACAUAAGUACAUGAUGUAUCAAUAAAUAUAGAAAGGAACUACAGAAA
rnacentral:lncRNA from 1 species